GGGAGGCUGGAAGCGGGGUGGGGGGAGGGUUUGUUUGCUUUCGUUUCAGGACACACAAGGAACCCAGGGCUGAGGCGGAGGAUUUCUGCAGAAUUGGCGCCGGGGCUCCCGGGGCUCUGCGCCUCACGCGCUCACAGCCGGGCCAGGGGACGGAUGCCUGCUGGGGGCCGUGACCCUGCGGGACACUUCGUGUGCCUCACGCCCCCUCCAUUCUCAGCUCCUCGAGGACGGCGCCAGCAGGAAAGGUUGCCUCGGCAGAAAGAAAUGUCCUUGCAGACAAGAUUUGAACAUCGGCCCUGUCUUCUGUGCCUCCAGGGCUGAGAGGGAAGUGACCAAAAUGGAAAACUGCGGUCAGAUGGAUUCACAAGGCUUCGUCUUCACAUCACACCAGGACAGAAGCAGGGCUUGACUCUGCGUUCUUCCGAUGCUGUGGCCACAGGUCUGGACAAAGAUUCCUCAAACACGGUGGCCUGGUGGUGGCUCCCAUCUUCCUUGUAUCGGUGAAUCAUAAGGGACAAACUAAGGGCACAGUGCGCCGGGGAUGGAAGGCUGAGGAAACAGGCGCGGCCACGCUGAGUGAGGACCGGAAGGAGAGCUGUUGCACAUGCUGGGUGUUUUCUCCUUUCUGUUAGGAUGUGCCCUACUUCACCCCAUCUGUCUCUAGAGGUUAUCUUUCUCCACUUUGCAUUGUUCUUCAGAAGAAACACGGGAAACACAGGAAGACAUGCCCUAGGACAGCUGGUUUCCCUUCACGGCUCUGGAAGUACUGGCGCUGGCAACAUUUUUAAAGCUUAGGAAUCAGACUAACCCAGAAGAUAAGGAGCAUUAAUGAAGUCACUCAUGGAUACAAUAAACACUCAACAGGGAGUUAUUUACUCCACCUCAGAUUAAAAAUUUGAAAUCUUACUUGUCAGUAAAAUAAAUUUCCUCCUGACACUCAUCUGCUCUAGAACCCACCCUCUUUUGACCCCUUGUAAUUCCAAGGUGAGCAAUGUCUGGGCGUUGUGGUGGCCACUUUUCCUUCUUCCUCUUCUCUCUUCUGCUUAGCUG